UGGGGAAUUUUGGACAAUGGGCGAAAGCCUGAUCCAGCAAUGCCGCGUGUGUGAAGAAGGCCUUCGGGUUGUAAAGCACUUUUGUCCGGAAAGAAAUCCUCUGGGUUAAUACCUCGGGGGGAUGACGGUACCGGAAGAAUAAGCACCGGCUAACUACGUGCCAGCAGCCGCGGUAAUACGUAGGGUGCAAACGUUAAUCGGAAUUACUGGGCGUAAAGCGUGCGCAGGCGGUUUUGUAAGACGGAUGUGAAAUCCCCGGGCUUAACCUGGGAACUGCAUUCAUGACUGCAAGGCUAGAGUAUGGCAUAGNGGGGUAGAAUUCCACGUGUAGCAUUGAAAUGCGUAGAGAUGUGGAGGAAUACCGAUGGCGAAGGCAGCCCCCUGGGCCAAUACUGACGCUCAUGCACGAAAGCGUGGGGAGCAAACA
rnacentral:rRNA from 1 species